UACUAUGACAUCUACUGCUGCAGAACCAUUGAAAAUGAGUCCCACUAAAUCAGAAACAACUCAGAAAUCUAGUGGCAAUGGAACUAAGAUGGAAUCGUUAUUGAAAGAAGUUUACCGAAUGCACAAGGAAGUUGUUAGGUCAUCCAGCCAAGUAUGGAAAGAUAAGUUUAUUAAGAUGAAGAGAAUAAAAAACAACGUUAAUUUUUUUCAACUUUGAAGAUGG
rnacentral:lncRNA from 1 species